GCCCCAGGGCAGGGCUUAACUGCUGGUUAGCAAUGGGUUCAGUGCCUUACUGGUGGCUUGUUCUGGGGGCAGAGUUGCUGGGAUAGGUCCUUGCUCUUCUGCACAGACUGCUUACUUAACUAGGGGGAUGCUGGUUUGAGUGCCUCAGACUUGGGGCUUUACUGCAGGCCCCCUGCUGUGAGGCUGGCUCCUGUUGCUGCUCUUGGACGUUGCUCCUCUACCGCCUAAGAGAUCCCUAACUUUCCUGUGUGGCUGCUUCUGGCUGGUGUGCACACUGAGGAUCAGACACUAACUACUGAGAUAUGAAAGGUGUCAGAGAAAAAUGGGAAUUAUGGAAAUGAAUUGCUCAAGAAACUUAACAUAACAGCUGCCUGUGGGACUGUCACCAAGUGAAAUAACACAACUGAGAAAAACUCCAAAGACCUGUGAGAGAAAACCUGAAUAUUUUAUCUUAGGACCCUCUGGUGACCAGCCUUUGAGUUAUCUAGCACAGUUUUUUCUAGCUGUUGCCUGGGACACUGAUGAGCCCAUGGUGAUAGCAAAUGAUGGUCAUUACAUACCCAACCAGAUGGUAUUAAAAUAAUGUGGUGAAU